rnacentral:rRNA from 1 species
CCUACGGGGCGCAGCAGUGGGGAAUAUUGCACAAUGGGGGAAACCCUGAUGCAGCGACGCCGCGUGAAGGAAGAAGUAUUUCGGUAUGUAAACUUCUAUCAGCAGGGAAGAAAAUGACGGUACCUGACUAAGAAGCCCCGGCUAACUACGUGCCAGCAGCCGCGGUAAUACGUAGGGGGCAAGCGUUAUCCGGAUUUACUGGGUGUAAAGGGAGCGUAGGCGGUGAUGCAAGCCAGGAGUGAAAGCCCGGGGCCCAACCCCGGGACUGCUCUUGGAACUGCGUGGCUAGAGUGCAGGAGGGGCAG